GAUGAACGCUAGCGAUAGGCCUAACACAUGCAAGUCGAGGGGCAGCAUAGAGUAGCAAUACUUUGAUGGCGACCGGCGCACGGGUGAGUAACACGUAUACAACCUACCUACAUCAGGGGAAUAACCCGGAGAAAUUCGGACUAAUACCGCAUAAUACAGGGAUGCCGCAUGUCAAUAUUUGUUAAAGAUUUAUCGGAUGUAGAUGGGCAUGCGUUCCAUUAGCUAGUUGGUAAGGUAACGGCUUACCAAGGCAACGAUGGAUAGGGGAACUGAGAGGUUUGUCCCCCACACUGGAACUGAGACACGGACCAGACUCCUACGGGAGGCAGCAGUGAGGAAUAUUGGUCAAUGGACGAGAGUCUGAACCAGCCAAAUCGCGUGAAGGAAGACUGCCCUACGGGUUGUAAACUUCUUUUGUACAGGAAUAAAAGACAUUACGUGUAAUGUAUUGCAUGUACUGUACGAAUAAGCAUCGGCUAACUCCGUGCCAGCCGCCGCAGUAA
rnacentral:rRNA from 1 species